rnacentral:rRNA from 1 species
AUUGAACGCUGGCGGCAGGCCUAACACAUGCAAGUCGAACGAGUGGCGGACGGGUGAGUAAUGUCUGGGAAACUGCCUGAUGGAGGGGGAUAACUACUGGAAACGGUAGCUAAUACCGCAUACCCUCAGAUGUGCCCAGAAGGGAUUAGCUGGUUGGUGGGGUAAAGGCUCACCAAGGCGACGAUCCCUAGCGGGUCUGAGAGGAUGACCACCCAAACUGGAACGGGGACACGGUCCAGAUUCCUACGGGGGGCAGCAGGGGGGAAGAUUGCACAAUGGGGGCAAGCCUGAUGCAGCCAUGCGGCGUAUAUGUAGAAGGCCUUCGGGUUGUAAAGUACUUUCAGCGGGGAGGCGUUACCCGCAGAAGAAGCACCGGCUAACUCCGUGCCAGCCGCCGCGGUAAUAC